rnacentral:rRNA from 1 species
UACGUAGGGUGCAAGCGUUGUCCGGAAUUAUUGGGCGUAAAGAGCUCGUAGGCGGUUUGUCGCGUCUGCUGUGAAAACUGGAGGCUCAACCUCCAGCCUGCAGUGGGUACGGGCAGACUAGAGUGGCGGUAGGGGAGAUUGGAAUUCCUGGUGUAGCGGUGGAAUGCGCAGAUAUCAGGAGGAACACCGAUGGCGAAGGCAGAUCUCUGGGCCGUAACUGACGCUGAGGAGCGAAAGCGUGGGGAGCGAACAGG